GCAGGAGAGAAGGAAGACCCUAGCUGCUCUCUGCGCAGGACUGUGAUUUGCAUAUUGCAGGACCUGGGCCCAGGUGGUGAGACCGGAGGUGCCAUCGUGCUUGACGUCUGUGUGGCCGGCCAGCUGGACCAUUGCGCUCAGCCACACUCAGCUCCAGGAGGCCACAGAUCUCUGACUCAGAUCUCGGCGAGUAGCCCUGACAUCUAUUACCCCAGAAAGAGAUUUGAUAUCGGGCCUAAUGGCUUUUCUGAGCUGAGCCAGUUCAGAAGAGAAGUUGUGACUGAGACCAGGAGAGGGUCAGAAGCCCCCUGGAUGCACCAUGCAAAGUGGGUCCACAGGAGGGGAAAAGGUAGGAGGCCACUUUUGCUUUCUUUGUACAUUGUACUCUGCCCAGAGGGGCCAGUGAAGCCAGGCAGCCCCGAAAUGCUGUGGAAGCCAGUGAAAGGAGGGGCCCUUUCUCCUGGAGGUGGCCUCCGUGUGCUACCAAGAACCGUCACUGCAAGUGGGAGGGAGGAACAGUACCUGUGCAAUUGAAAUUUUUACAAUUAAAAAG
rnacentral:lncRNA from 1 species